CAUUGCUAGCCUCAUUGCUUCACUCGUUUUGGUCGCGAAAAGAGACACACUUGAAGAAAAUUCUGCUUUCCAAUUCUAAUUGAUCAUUUUGAACAAUGGAAGAUGUCGAAAUGGCUUCAAAUGUUGGGAAAAAACUUAGCCAUAAGGAACAAAAACAGAAAAUAUAUAAUGCUGAAGAAAUGCAGAAGUGGAAGAGAAACAAAUGUAAUCAGAAUAAUCGGAAUAAAAUCAGAAAAGCACAAACCCAGGAGAUUGAGAGGCUGAAGGCGCUCGAUAUUGGGUUGCAUGGGAGGAUGCAACAAUUAGAAAAUAGGAGGGAAGUGGUAAAGUUAAGAUGUUUUUUUAUUUUUAAACUACUAUUGACAUAUGUUUGCUUUCUGUCGUGUAGCUGCUCAACGAAGAAAAAGAGAACAUGGCGGCUGGAAAAGCGGCAGCUUCAAAGAAAAAGGUUGUGGUAGCACCCAGUGGGACCAAAAGGUUGCUGGAUGGCAAUUGUGAGGCAUCAUGUUCGAAACGCUACAGAGAGCAGUCGGAAAGUGAACUGGCAACGAAAUCCUUGGCAGAGUACGAGAAAGCCAAAGCGAACCUUGAAGCUCUGUUGAAAACGUGGGAGACGAAAUUGUCAAAGUUUACAUCAUCAGAGCUACCAGGCCUCUCAAAGGACGCUGUUGCCAUAAAGGAAGCUUUGAUUAUU